UGGUGUCGGAGGGCCUGUGAUAUGGCUGCUGGGAGCGAAAUACUGACCUAGACCAGACCUAAACCGUUUUAUGGGGCACCGGAAUCACGCCUCACUCCUGAAACCUGGAGGUGCUCUCCGUGAGAAAUUCCCCUCGAGAAUGCAGUUGAUUUUCACAAGAUCUGGAUGCAAGGCAUGACAAAUUGCAUGUGUGUGUGUGCAGGAUUGCAAGAAAGUACAGUCUAUUUUAAGACCUCCGGCAAGCACUGCUUUUCCAACACCAUUGCACAGGGUCCAGAACCGUCACACAGUACAUUCCUCCUGCAUCUGUAUGCCAACAGAAGGGAAAUGGAGCUACCUGCACCUGUGACCAUCCUGCAUAUGUAGCAACUGUUCUUGUUAAAUGCAUGCACGGAAAAUUUAACCUUUUAUACCCAGGCAUUUACGUCGCCAUACUCUGUCUCCAUCUCCAGCGUUUUUGUCAAAUCUUUUACUUCAGAGUAUACAUGAUCACCAGAGGGACCAUGUGCUCACCAGAGACAGAAGAGAGGAAGAAGGAGAAAGCAUUCCCCAAUAAGAUGUGGUCACACCACAGUUGGUGGUACAUGGACUCAACCUAAGUGUCCCAAAACUGAUGACUGGGUUGAAAAACUGACAUAUAUAGACUAUGUAAUAUUACUCAGUCAUAAGAAAUUAUAGGAUCUUAUCAUUUGACUCAGAGUGGAUGAAUAUGGAAGAUUUAAUGCUAAGUAAAGUGAGUCAGACUUUGAAAGAUAUACACUGUAUAUCCUCACCCUAUGGGUACUGAAUGUCUGCACUCUAUGGCAAAAUUUAAAAUAUCCAAAGAUCUGACAGUAGAGAGGAUAAGUUUAGAUACAAGAGAUGGUAAGGGAGGAUAGUGGAUAGUGUGAAGUGAGUGGUAGAGGGUGGAUAGGAGGGCCAAAGGAAGAAACAUUUAACAGAUAAAAUAAUGUAAAG